GUCGUUGGCACUAAAACCUGGGUUUGUUCUUCAUCUGUCUGUUUAGGAUCCUGUUAGUAAAAGAAGAAUAAAAAAGGUGCUCUCACGUGCACCUGAUGGAUUGUGUCUGAGUUGACAGUUGCUAUAUAAUAAGAAGUGCAGACAGAGCAUCAGAUUCAUUGAUCUAAAAAAAAAAAAAAAAGAAAGAAAAGUCACAAUAUCUAACGCUUGUCCAAAAGCAGGGAUAGGGGUGAGAGGAAGAAGCUGGGCAGCUCUUCUGGGGUUGGCACUAGAAAUUAGCAUUUUGGGGAGGGGUCAGACUUUGCAGUCAGAGAAGUGACUUUAACCAGUUUGGGUCUGCUGCCUUUCUGCCUCUUGAGUAACAUGCAAGCAGCUUUGAACACUGACAAAAACAAGUUUUCACUAAAGUCAGCACUCCCGAGCUCGUGCAAAGCUAAAAGAGGGAACUGCCGGUCAGUUUUUGCUUCUCACACCAGCAAGGCCACCAGCUGAAUCCUGACCUCAGCAUGUUUUUGGUAGGUGACAGCUUAAAAGCAGGAAGGACAAGCACAGGAAUACGAACGCACCAAGAGCCAUCUGAAUCCUCCUCUCAGAUGUGAACUGAAACCCAUAAUCAACUGUUUCAGAAGUUCCAGCAAAGUUCAGAGCUCUGACACGGUCCAUAUAGUCUGGAAACUUUUAAAUAAACAUCCUGACUUCUGAAUUGCAUAGAAGACUGGAAGCAACCUCACUUCUUGCUCAGAUACCAUGUGAGACUUGCAGCGUUGCCAGGACAAGGCCAGAACUUGGAAAACUUUAUCGAAGCGUGAGUUACAAUGAGUAUGUCCAGAGAAGAUCAAUGGCAACAAAACAUUUCAGUGUUGACCUUUCCCAACUUUUUUAUUCCAUGUUUACUGUACUUGUAAUACUUUACCGAACCCAAAAUAUUUUCGGUGCAAGAUUCCUCAGAGCUGAAACUACUGACAAGAGACUAUUUGCAUUCCCUGAUAUCAAAACUCAAUUUUUUUUUUUCCACAGAUAAUUUUGCUUUUGAGUAAGUGGCAUUUUCAGGUUAAAAAAAUGAAACUCAUUCAAAGGAAAACUCCUGACCGCAUUAAAGAAUGAGAUCAAACAAGGGCCCCUGUAGCUUGCACACCGAAUUAACCUGCAAAGGUUUGUUUCAACACACUCCCCUGGGCAGGAGUAGCUGAGACCGGCUGUAAAGGAGCUGCUUGCGGUGCCUCGUCAUCGUCCCUGUGACUCACUCAAGACCCCUGUGGAGGGACCUCAGGGAACUGGGACCCGUUUCUCAGCCAGAGCAGACAGGUUUUGUGUGGCAGAGGGGGAAGCACACGCAAAAGAAAAGGCAUACGCCAGCUCCUUUGGACAUGGCUCUGUGUGCAGGGCUGUGGCCACUGCUUUGGGAUGCGCGGCAUCUGCCCCUCCAGCAUCUGCCGGCUUCCUGGCAAGUCGCCGUGGGUGGCUCCAUCUCCUACACCAGCGUGCCCAGGGAGACUUUCAUUUGCCCCCAUUCCCUCCACUAGCUGCACUUCAGGACGGGGAGAAGAAGCUGGGGAAUGUGCUGAAAUACCUCUUUCCCCAAACAGCAAUGUUUGCUGCUGCUGUUUGGUCCUAUCUGACAAAACAAAACACAAACAGCGAAACCUUCUCCGCUCGCUUCCUCCCUCUGACCAGGGAAUGAGCUCAGCACGUCGCGCCGUCUCAGCCAAAUCCCGGAGGAGUAAUUUAAUCGCAUUCCUGCUCCGUCUGCCUCAGUUACCCCACUUGGAUGGGUUAUGUCUCCGUGCUUCCUGUUGUGGCAUCCUCGGCAUUCCCCACCGCGCUCCCAGCCGCAUUGCUCCUCCGCGUACGUCACUGCCUAGGACUCUUCGCCGGCACACAUGCAAGCUGUCAGAGGCAGUGGGAUGCAUUCCUGGGAUAGGCAGUUGCAUCUGGUCCUGGAGCCGCAUCCUGCAGGCAGAGCUGAGCUGGUGGGCAGGCUGUCUCCUCAUCUUGUCCCCACAGAGGACUCUCGUCCCUUCUUUGUGCUGCAUGGAUGCUGGGAGGUGUAACAACAUUGCCUUAGCCUGGACACCCACAGGAGCGUGCUGCAUUGCAGGCCACAGAGAUGUUCCUUGUGGUCUUUUCCAUCAGUGCAAACAUAGUAAAUGGAUUUAUAAAGUGGGGGAAACAGUCAAAUGGAGUGGAUAGAGGAGGUCUGGCUUAAACAAAGGAGGUGUGGCUCAGCCCUAGCUAUCAUGAACAUCACUGGAGGUAGCCAAGGUCAGGCACGUGAAGAUCACCAAAAAUAUUGGGCAGCACGCGGGGAGACCCUACUGUUUGGCUCCUCUUCCCUCCCUUCCUGCUCCUGUUUGUACAGUCCCCACAACUACACACCUACUUUGGCCCACUGGACUUCAGACUCGUGUGUGUGUUUUGGGCACUGAGUUCAGAGCCCAAAAUUAGAAAGAGGAUGAAAAGAAAACAAUUUUCUGACACAGCUUAGCUGGAAAAAAAGCACUUCUGCUACCCUGCCUGACACCCCGGCUGGGGGGAGCACCCACCAGGUCACAGCCCCCCUGCCCAAGCAUGCACCCAGUCUGCCCCGCAAGCAUGGGAGUACAAAAGCCCAGGGGGAGCCCUCAUUGCAGAGACUAUCUACUUCCAAACACCCCUGUACCAAAGCCAUGGUCAACACCAUACCCUCAUCGAUGCGGUUGUGCCACUGCGUGGUGUGCAGCUACGCCGCCUUGCUUUCUCCAGCUCUCUGCUGCUCACUUCCUGGCUGGUGCUGCUUACUGCUGGCACAGGCACUCCUCACCGAGGAGAGCAAUUAAGUAUCGCUUCUAUGGCAGAGCAGAGACUCAGCCCUACUGUGCACGCCAGGAGAAGCAGAUCCCAGCUCUGCUCCUAGCCACUCAGAGUACCUGGGAGACCUGGGGGUGGGGCGGGGGGAAGCAAGCUAUAGGUAGGCAGAAUAACCUGCUCCCAAAACCACUGUGAGAUGCUCAGCCUCAGAAAUGUGCCAACUUUGACAGUCCCAGCACUUUAAAGCAUGGGAUGGGAAUGGCUUACCUGCGGCGUGAGUUCGCUAGCCUCUGCUGUGCUGCAGAGCAAAGCUCUGCUGUGUGUGGAGGAGCUGGCCACAGAUGAGGGGGAUGUUUGGGAAGGCUGGGGGACCUAGCUUCCAACCAGUUGUCAGGGCUUAAGAGCUGCAGGAGUCAUUGCUGAGAACUUCAUUCAUACCUUGAAAGCAUCCUGGUAUCUGAGCUGAGCAUCAGCCAGCAAGACGCUCUGCCAAAAGUUGAGCCAGAAAAGGGAUUUUUGCAGAAAGGAAGAAUCAAAUAGAUGAGUCUGUC